UCGUGCUAGGCGGGGAGUUAGCGGUGCCCUGUAACCCGCAAUCCGCUAUAGCGGGGCGGAAUUCCCAAUCAGCGGCUCUCUUUCUUUCAGGGUCGGCCCUGGUGCAAGUGGCGUUGACAGCUGGGUCUUGUACGACGAGAGCUUGUAAACCCCGUCAGGUCCGGAAGGAAGCAGCGGUAAGCAAGGACUCUCGGGUGUUGCAAGGGUGCCUGGCUCGAGCCAACUACACCAUGGGCGCCUGGGGGGAAAAGUCAAUGAUGGGUGCACGA
rnacentral:SRP_RNA from 1 species